AUAGCGUAUAUUUAAGUUGUGCAGGUAAAAAGCUCGUAGUUGGAUCUUGGGUCGGGGGGAGCGGUCCGCCCCUCGUGGGUGUGCACUGGUCCACCCGACCUUCUUCUGCCGGGGACGCGCUCCUGGCCUUCGCUGGUCGGGACGCGGAGUCGGCGACGUUACUUUGAAAAAAUUAGAGUGCUCAAAGCAAGCCUAUGCUCUGAAUACAUUAGCAUGGAAUAACGCGAUAGGACUCUGGUCCUGUCUCUGUUGGUCUUCGGGACCGGAGUAAUGAUUGAUAGGGACAGUUGGGGGCAUUCGUAUUUCAUUGUCAGAGGUGAAAUUCUUGGAUUUAUGAAAGACGAACUUCUG
rnacentral:rRNA from 1 species